GGCAGUCUGGUGAAACCUGUGGAUCCCUUCUCAGAAUAAUGUUUGUUGUCUACAUUCAAAAAUUAAGGAGAAGCUAAAUUUCCAUUAGAGCUUUGCUGACAGCGCAUCAAUGUCGUGGUACAAUUUGAAAGUGCAAAUGGAAGCAUUUCGGUCACAGAGCAUUAAAAAGCUCCCUGGCUAAGGAACUGGAUAAAACUGCGUUCAGCAGAAGAUAUUGAAGCACAGGAAAGCAAAGUGACUUCCUCAAGGCCAACCAGAGCAUCGGUGACAUAAAUGGGGCUCCAACUCAUUUUCCCUACUCCUACUCCAAGUGAUUUUCCUACUUUAUUUCUGGGGUUUAAGAAGAGGAGCAUUCAGCGUUGCUCUUGAGUGUGUCCAAAAUUUAACUCCAUCUCUCUGGAUUCAUAAUAAUGCCUAUAAUUUACAUAAUGCUUUAAGAAUUGCAAAAUACUUUGUGUAUAUAAUCUCAUUUUAU